GAGCUCGCGCCCGGGGCUGUGGGCGCUGCGCGGGUCGGGGCUCGCGCCGCGGCGGCCGUUGGCGGGAACGGGGCGGGGGCGGCGAGGCGAGGCGAGGCGGUAGCCGGGGCUGAAGCACGGGGCUGGAAGCUGCCCGGGGCGUUCGAAGAGCGAACGGCUCACUCCUCUCUGCGCUGCGUGUAGUCGCUCACCUCACGUCAGUUUGUGUCCCACUGUGACAGGAGUAAAUGCUUUUCUGAAAAGAUUCUUAGCGGUGACAGAGAUUGACUUGAAUCACGGCAAAAAUAAUCCCAUUG
rnacentral:lncRNA from 1 species